AGAGUAUAUAGCUGGGGUAGUCCCAACGUAAAAGACGACAUCAAGUCACGUAUGCUUGCAGCAAUUUGCAGGUCCCCUUCUCUUGAGCGAACGCAGCUAUAUAGAUUUAUAUGUCUAUAGCGGCAACCUAACAGUGCCUGCUUUUGUCACGUGACAAUUAAGUGUUCCUGGCAAAAAAAUGAUGUAACAUUUUACAUGAUGAAGUCAUUAAUUGUGGGAAAAGUUAAGGCAUUAAGUGGUAAGAAUGAGGUUUCUUAUUGUGAGUUUAGUGGAACAGCACCUUUAACAGGCUGAGACACCACCUUGCAGGACAGCGUUUUGAUCGAGGUGGCUGGAACUCACUGCAAGGAAUUUAUUCCGUGUUAACAAACCGCAGCCAUCCUCUUAAUGUCUUGGCCGAGGACAGAGCGGUAAUACUGGAAAUUCCUUAUCAGAUCUUAGCCAAUUCGCAUAGUGUUCCUUAUUAACCCAUUAUGCACAGAAACAAGGGGCACGUUUUGUAGACACUAUGACGAUGCUGCCUAAUUAAGCGCUUUAUACGUCUCGAAGAGCAAAUUUAUCCAUAGGGAUAUCCUGCUUUUGGAAGGGAGUAGAUCUGAUUAGUGAGAAAGGAGCAGGAGAAAAAGGAGAAGAGGUUUAGAUAAGCCAAAGGAGCAGGAGAACAAAGAGGGUUAAAUGAGCCAGAUACUAAAUGCAGUUCCUAGUCCCAUAACCGGCAGCCCCCUUUAUAAAGAGAAAUGAAAAUACAACACAUGAAAAUAUUAGAUGCAAAAAUUGUAUUAAUAAUUCAUUUACAAAAAUAUUUACAUAAACUUGCACAACGGAAGUAAUGGAUACAAUGUAACAAACGGUGAUGGCACAAAAUGAAAGAAUCAUUUACUAGCUACUCCGCAGUUUUUUUAUUUUUUUGUAUUUUUUUUUCUUUCGCUAUGUUGGUUUAGUAGCUUUGUUAGAAUAUAUAUGGAAAAAAGUUGCUAGUUAACCAGCUUUUGCGAGGUUGUGAAAUAUGAUGGAGACUUAGCAUGAAUUUAUGAUCUAGUCUGCCCAGUUUUCCUGAUAUAAAGAACCUAAAACUUCAAUCAGUCUUAAUUUCCGUCUCAGAUUCAGGAGCCAUAUACCUACCCCAUACAUGUGUAAAUUCCCUCACUUUAUUAUUCUACCUCAUCUGCUGGGUGGCUGUCCGACUUAUCUACCACCCUCUCAGUAGAGUAAAUCGUAUCUUGAGGUUUUUUUUCCCCCUCAUACUUUGAAAUUUACAUCUACAAUUUCAAAGAAUUGAGAUAAGCUCAUUAGCAUUUUUUGGGUAAAAAAUGGAACAGAUCAACCUUUAGUGAAUAAGUCCCAAAGAGCCUGCUAAUAACGUCCCAAAAUAUAGUAGCACCUUAAGAAUAACCCAAUAUUAUUAACAUGUUAUCACCAAAAAUUCUCCGUUUUAAUAAAAAAAAUGUAUUUUUUGUAUUCGUAAUAAAAAUAUCACUUUGGGCAUUCUGCUAAAUAUCUUUUUUUCUUUUCUGUUUUUUUGCACAAAUGUGAAAACAUACAAACAUUUCAAAUUUCAAAUGUUAUAAGAGCAACAGAGGAAAUGGAAAUGGCAAUUUUUAAAAACAAAUUAAUGUAUAUUGUUCUCCUGUGUUGAAAUUCUGAAUUUUUCUGUAUUUUUCUGUAAUUUGAAUGGCUUUGGUGCCUGAAAGGUAGUUAUUAUUAUAGUAAAUUAUGGGUUAUCAGAAUAUUAUCAGGAUGUAGCCAGCCUUUUCCCAACAUUAACAUUGUUUUCUACGAUACUGUGUACUAUUUUUACGAUAUUGUUUUCUUUAUAUUUCUGUCUAAGCUGUUUUGUAUAUUUCUGUAUUUUCCCAGCAUUUUAGAAUUAUUCGGAGAAUGGUGCUGUCUACUUGUGAAUUUAUUAAAAUGUUAUUUUUUUAA